rnacentral:misc_RNA from 1 species
AAUUCUCAACCUUCCAGCUUUUAUUAGCUUGGUUAGGCUUGGAUGUGGGAGUUGUGGGCUUCAUUAAUGAGGUCAGCUCUCCUUAAAUGCAUUAGCGGAACUUUUGUGGACCGUCUAUUGGUGUGAUAAUUAUCUACGCCGUGGAUGUGAAGCAGCUUUUAUGGAGUUCAGCUUCUAACUGUCCAUUGACUUGGACAAAUUUUUGACA